UGCAAGUCGAACGAUGAAGCCCAGCUUGCUGGGUGGAUUAGUGGCGAACGGGUGAGUAACACGUGAGUAACCUGCCCUUGACUCUGGGAUAAGCGUUGGAAACGACGUCUAAUACCGGAUACGAGCUUCCACCGCAUGGUGAGUUGCUGGAAAGAAUUUUGGUCAAGGAUGGACUCGCGGCCUAUCAGCUUGUUGGUGAGGUAACGGCUCACCAAGGCGACGACGGGUAGCCGGCCUGAGAGGGUGACCGGCCACACUGGGACUGAGACACGGCCCAGACUCCUACGGGAGGCAGCAGUGGGGAAUAUUGCACAAUGGGCGAAAGCCUGAUGCAGCAACGCCGCGUGAGGGACGACGGCCUUCGGGUUGUAAACCUCUUUUAGCAGGGAAGAAGCGAAAGUGACGGUACCUGCAGAAAAAGCACCGGCUAACUACGUGCCAGCAGCCGCGGUAAUACGUAGGGUGCAAGCGUUGUCCGGAAUUAUUGGGCGUAAAGAGCUCGUAGGCGGUUUGUCGCGUCUGCUGUGAAAUCCCGAGGCUCAACCUCGGGUCUGCAGUGGGUACGGGCAGACUAGAGUGCGGUAGGGGAGAUUGGAAUUCCUGGUGUAGCGGUGGAAUGCGCAGAUAUCAGGAGGAACACCGAUGGCGAAGGCAGAUCUCUGGGCCGCUACUGACGCUGAGGAGCGAAAGGGUGGGGAGCAAACAGGCUUAGAUACCCUGGUAGUCCACCCCGUAAACGUUGGGCGCUAGAUGUGGGGACCAUUCCACGGUUUCCGUGUCGUAGCUAACGCAUUAAGCGCCCCGCCUGGGGAGUACGGCCGCAAGGCUAAAACUCAAAGGAAUUGACGGGGGCCCGCACAAGCGGCGGAGCAUGCGGAUUAAUUCGAUGCAACGCGAAGAACCUUACCAAGGCUUGACAUAUACGAGAACGGGCCAGAAAUGGUCAACUCUUUGGACACUCGUAAACAGGUGGUGCAUGGUUGUCGUCAGCUCGUGUCGUGAGAUGUUGGGUUAAGUCCCGCAACGAGCGCAACCCUCGUUCUAUGUUGCCAGCACGUCAUGGUGGGAACUCAUGGGAUACUGCCGGGGUCAACUCGGAGGAAGGUGGGGACGACGUCAAAUCAUCAUGCCCCUUAUGUCUUGGGCUUCACGCAUGCUACAAUGGCCAGUACAAAGGGCUGCAAUACCGUAAGGUGGAGCGAAUCCCAAAAAGCUGGUCCCAGUUCGGAUUGAGGUCUGCAACUCGACCUCAUGAAGUCGGAGUCGCUAGUAAUCGCAGAUCAGCAACGCUGCGGUGAAUACGUUCCCGGGCCUUGUACACACCGCCCGUCAAGUCAUGAAAGUCGGUAACACCCGAAGCCAGUGGCCUAACCGCAAGGAUGGAGCU
rnacentral:rRNA from 1 species